rnacentral:pre_miRNA from 1 species
GUGGUACUCCCUCCGUCCGAAAAUACUUGUCGCAUAAAUGGAUGAAAAUGGAUGUAUCUAGAAUUAAAAUACAUCUAGAUUUCAUUGACAAGUAUUUCCGGACGGAGGGAGUAUCAU